rnacentral:snRNA from 1 species
AUGCUUCAGUAGCACAUAUCCUAAAAUUGGAAAGAUACAGAGAAAAUUAACAUGACCCCUGUGCAAGAAUAUCAAGUGUUGGUGAAGAUGUGGAGCAUCUGGAA